rnacentral:rRNA from 1 species
CCCUUAGAUGUUCUGGGCCGCACGCGCGCUACGCUGAUGCGUUCAACAAGUUUCCUUGGCCGAGAGGCCUGGGCAAUCUUCUUAAUAUGUAUCGUGAUAGGGAUAGAUUAUUGCAAUUAUUAAUCUUGAACGAGGAAUUCCUAGUAAACGCAGAUCAUCAAUCUGCAUUGAUUACGUCCCUGCCCUUUGUACACACCGCCCGUCGCACCUACCGAUUGGAUGUUCCGGUGAAGCCUCGGGAUGAGGACUGGUGCCUUUAUUGGCAUGAGUUGUUCAGAACUUGUCUAAACCUUAUCAUCUAGAGGAAGGUGAAGUCGUAACA